UUCCGGUUGAUCCUGCCGGACCCCACUGCUAUCGAGAUGGGACUAAGGUAUGCUAGUCGAACGACCAGAACUAUGUCUGGAGGUGGCACACUGCUCAGUAACACGUAGCUAACCUACCCUUAGGACGUGGAUACCCCCGAGAAAUUGGGGUUAAUCCGCGAUAGAUGUAAUGUCCUGGAAUGGUAUUACGUCUAAAGGUAUUUCAUACAUGUUUGAAAUAUGCCUAAGGAUGGGGCUGCGGCCGAUCAGGCUGUUGGUGAGGUAAUGGCUCACCAAACCUUUGACCGGUACGGGCCAUGAGGGUGGCAGCCCGGAGAUGGACACUGAGACAAGGGUCCAGGCCCUAAGGGGCGCAGCAACCGCGAAACCUCCACAAUGCACUCACGUGCGAUGGGGCUAUCUCGAGUGCCACCUGAUGAAGGUGGCUUUUCCUAGGUCUUCAAAGCCUUGGGAAUAAGAGGGGGGCAAGACUGGUGUCAGCCGCCGCGGCAACACCAGCCCCUCGAGUGGUGGGGAUGAUUAUUUGGCCUAAAGCGUCCGUAGCCGGCCGAGCAAGUCUUCCGUUAAAUCCAGCGUCUCAAGCGUUGGACCGCGGGAGAUACUACACGGCUAGAGAGUGGGAGAGGUCAGCGGUAUUCUGGGGGUAAGGGCGAAAUCUUUUGAUCCCCGGAGGACCACCAGUGGCGAAGGCUGCUGACUAGAACACGUCUGACGGUCAGGGACGAAAGCUGGGGUAGCGAACCGGAUUAGAUACCCGGGUAGUCCCAGCCGUAAACGAUGCAUGCUAGGUGUUGGGUUGGCCACGAGCCACCCCAGUGCCGCAGGAAGCCGUUAAGCAUGCCGCCUGGGAAGUACGAUCGCAAGUUGAAACUUAAAGGAAUUGCGGGGGAGCACACAGGCGUGAGCCUGCG
rnacentral:rRNA from 1 species